rnacentral:lncRNA from 1 species
AUCUGUACAAUCCAUUUCCAGCACCCCGUUUGCCUUUGCUAAUCACGCCUGAAGUCCACGUCGUCGUUGACUUCUUCAUAUGCAAGGCGUUGAAAUUCAUUGAAAAGAAAAUUACGAUAUACGUGGCCAUCUUGACGGCUUCGGCCAAUCUGCGUUAUCGAAGCUUUGUGCAGCCAAGGGUUCAACUGCAAAUCACCGGCAUCACAGUGACAAAAACGCGAGAUGACGAGCCCUAUAUGGUUCAUGUUCGCGGAUAUGAAGCUACGCGCAAUAUUCUUCACGUGGAAACCAGAGCCAAGUUUAACGACCAUGUAAUGAAGCAGCCGUAUUUUGACAAGACCGACAUUGUGUUUCUUCUAACCGGGUAGGUCGUCUGAACCUAUUUUCAGAUCUUGG